GUGUGUGGUACCGUAAGAGUGCAUAUACAUAAGUGAAAUACCGAUCAGACUCAGGUCUGAUAAGUUGUCACAUGUUUAAAGCUGCUUUAUCGUCACAGUCAGGCGUUUCUCGCUAUUGUCGCAAAAGCGUAUCGACGACAGUUCAAACGUUCACGAAUAUUUCCGAAGUAUGUGCUCGAGCAUUCCAAAAUAAAUUUUCUGAAUGAUCAUUGAAAAUGUUCCUCUAGCUGUUCGAUCAUUUGCAAUAAUCUUGGCAAAAGACGCAAUAGCAAAAGAACGCAACGCAAUUUUCGUGCAACAACCAACCCGGGCUGGGUUGUCUUCUUCUCAGUGUACACGUAUGUCUCGAAACGUAAUACGCAUUUUUCGUAGUACGGUGUUCUUUCAAAAAAAUGAAAACCGAUGAAGUUUCGAGGCACGAAAAUGUUUAACCUAUUUCGAUCCGCAUAAAAACGUAAGCACACUGAGAUCAGUGUUCAAUCAAUCGAAAUGACAUUGCGCAAAAAGAGCGUGGUCGCUUGAACAAUGAACGAUCACUCGCAUAAGUUAAUAUCGCUCUUUAACGCCGUGUGAUCAGUAUCACUUUAGAAAACGCAUUGGUGUAAGUAGUGUAACAUAUUAAAUAAUAAUAAUAACAACAAUAAGACUUACCGUCCGCCACCACGCGGAGGACCAUAUGCAUCUGGUCUGUCGUACCCUUCGGUAUAGCUAAAACAAAAAUUAAGAUUAUUAUAAUAACUAAUAAUAGUUGAGGUUAGUCGAAUUGGAUAUUUCUAAAUAUCUCAAUAUGGAAGACAUUUUGAAAUAUGUAAAUACCUUGCCAAAAAAUAAUAUAUGAGAAAUAAUAAAUAUAAAAUUGAAUGAACUAAUUUUCAUUACAGUGGGAAUGAAACAGCAGAAGAUUUAUUGAAAAUAAGUGGAAUUUUGAAAAAAGAAGAAUAUUUAUGUAUUUUAAGUGAACCGCGAUUAUUUCAAGUUGGUGAUUUGUUAAAACUAAUUUUAUUUUCAAACAUGAUAAUGAUUUAUGAACACAUAACAAAAAUUUAAAAAGAACUAUUUGCAACAAAUAUAAAAGAAACAAAAGUAAUGGAGAAUAAUCAUUAAUUACUAUUUAUAUAUUUAUAUAUUUUAAGUGGUAAAAUGAAUGUAACAUUCUUACUUACCCUCCACCAACAGGUGGAUAUCCACCACUAGGGACAGCACUGCCAGGUCUUCUACUAAACAUGUCUGCUUGUGGUCCAGGACCAGUACUAUAACUA